UACGUAGGGUGCAAGCGUUAAUCGGAAUUACUGGGCGUAAAGCGUGCGCAGGCGGUGAUGUAAGACAGAGGUGAAAUCCCCGGGCUCAACUUGGGAACUGCAUUUGUGACUGCAUCGCUGGAGUGCGGCAGAGGGGGAUGGAAUUCCGCGUGUAGCAGUGAAAUGCGUAGAGAUGCGGAGGAACACCGAUGGCGAAGGCAGCCCCCUGGGCUAGCACUGACGCUCAGGCACGAAAGCGUGGGGAGCAAACAGG
rnacentral:rRNA from 1 species